UGCCAGCCGCCGCGGUAAUACGGAGGGUGCGAGCGUUAAUCGGAAUCACUGGGCGUAAAGCGUACGUAGGUGGCAAAGUCAGUCAGAUGUGAAAGCCCCGGGCUCAACCUGGGAACUGCACCUGAUACUGCCAGUCUAGAAUACGGUAGAGGGUAGUGGAAUUUCCUGUGUAGCGGUGAAAUGCGUAGAUAUAGGAAGGAACACCAGUGGCGAAGGCGGCUCACUGGACCACAUCUGACGCUGAGGUGCGAAAGCUAGGGUAGCGAACGGGAUUAGAUA
rnacentral:rRNA from 1 species